rnacentral:rRNA from 1 species
GACGAACGCUGGCGGCGUGCUUAACACAUGCAAGUCGAACGGUAAGGCCCUUCGGGGUACACGAGUGGCGAACGGGUGAGUAACACGUGGGUGAUCUGCCCUGCACUUCGGGAUAAGCCUGGGAAACUGGGUCUAAUACCGGAUAGGACCACUGCCUGCAUGGGUGGUGGUGGAAAGCUUUUGCGGUGUGGGAUGGGCCCGCGGCCUAUCAGCUUGUUGGUGGGGUGAUGGCCUACCAAGGCGACGACGGGUAGCCGGCCUGAGAGGGUGACCGGCCACACUGGGGCUGAGAUACGGCCCAGACUCCUACGGGAGGCAGCAGUGGGGAAUAUUGCACAAUGGGCGCAAGCCUGAUGCAGCGAGGCCGCGUGGGGGAUGACGGCCUUCGGGUUGUAAACCUCUUUCAGAACCGACGAAGCGCAAGUGACGGUAGGUGCAGAAGAAGGACCGGCCAACUACGUGCCAGCAGCCGCGGUAA